UGACUGGGGUGAAGUCGUAACAAGGUAACCGUAGGGGAACCUGCGGUUGGAUCACCUCCUUA
rnacentral:rRNA from 34 species